GGAUGUGAGUGCAAUCUGACUGCAACAUCUGGGUUACCCCAUUGAUCACUAGGAUUGAUUUGGCUGAUCUGGGCUGGGCUAGGUGGGGUGUCCCCUUCCUCACCGCGCCACAUGUGUCACUCCCCUAAAUUGCACCUUCAGUCAAAGAAGGAUGGCCUUCCUCAAAUAGAGAUGGACCAGUCUUCAGUCCGGGAGUAUAUGGAGUAGCUGUGCUCCCCCGGCUAGAAGCUCCAAACAGUUUUCUCAAAGAGGAGUGGGGUAUGACUUAGCACUACCCAGAUUUGAGAUAAAUGUUUAUACGUUAUAGCCGCCAUUAAAUUUAUUGG
rnacentral:snRNA from 1 species